AUUAGCCAUUUUGUUUGUAUUGGAAGAAAGUUUUGAAUCCUGCAAUCUGAACCACUGAAAAAUCAACCAUACAAGAAAAUAGAGAUAAUUUUAACCGAGAAUAUUGCCAAACCAAAAAAAAAAAAAACCCAAAAACUUCAGUGAUCAUGAAUUGGAUUUUUCAAUCUUGACUGCAACCCACUGGGUCAAAGAAGGCAAGAACUUCUUUGCCACAGAUUCUUCAUGUUCAAAAGCAAUCUGGGCAAGAAGAAAAAAAAAAUAUCUUACUUGAGAAACAAAACAAGGAAAAAGUCUGAAACUCCCAGCUGCUGGCCUUCAUACAGUCACCAUAUGAGCUAAAAAGCGUUUUUCACAUUCUCCGUUAUCUCAGAGAUGAGCGAAACAUUUAAGGAUUAUGCGCAACAUGGAAAUAAUUCAUAGCAGCAAG
rnacentral:misc_RNA from 1 species